rnacentral:rRNA from 1 species
UAUACAUGCAAGUCGAGCGAACAGAAAAGGAGCUUGCUCCUUUGACGUUAGCGGCGGACGGGUGAGUAACACGUGGGCAACCUACCCUAUAGUUUGGGAUAACUCCGGGAAACCGGGGCUAAUACCGAAUAAUCUCUUUUGCUUCAUGGCAAGAGACUGAAAGACGGUUUCGGCUGUCGCUAUAGGAUGGGCCCGCGGCGCAUUAACUAGUUGGGGAGGGAACGGCUCACCAAGGGGACCAUGCGUAACCCAACUGAAAGGGUGAUCGGCCACCCUGGGACUGAAACACGGCCCAAACUCCUACGGGAGGGAGCAGUAGGGAAUCUUCCACAAUGGGCGAAAGCCUGAUGGAACAACCCCCCGUGAGUGAAGAAGGGUUUCGGAUCCUAAAACUCUGUUGUAAGGGAAGAACAAGUACAGUAAUAACUGGCUGUACCUUGACGGUACCUUAUUAAAAAGCCACGGCUAACUACCUGCCAGCAGCCGCGGUAAUACCUAAGUGGCAAGCGUUGUCCGGAAUUAUUGGGCGUAAAGCGCGCGCAGGCGGUCCUUUAAGUCUGAUGUGAAAGCCCACGGCUCAACCGUGGAGGGUCAUUGGAAACUGGGGGACUUGAGUGCAGAAGAAGAAAGUGGAAUUCCCAGUGUAGCGGUGAAAUGCGUAGAGAUUUUGAGGAACACCAGUGGCGAAGGCGACUUUCCUGUCUGUAACUGACGCUGAAGCGCGAAAGCGUGGGGAGCAAACAGGAU